rnacentral:rRNA from 1 species
CCUACGGGAGACAGCAGUCGGGAAUAUUGCGCAAUGGAGGAAACUCUGACGCAGCGACGCCGCGUGCAGGAAGAAGGCCUUCGGAUUGUAAACCGCUUUUGACAGGGAAGAAAAAUGACAGUAUCUGUCGAAUAAGCUCCGGCUAACUACGUGCCAGCAGCCGCGGUAAUAAGUAGGGAGCAAGCGUUAUCCGGAUUUAUUGGGUGUAAAGGGUGCGUAGACGGAGAAGCAAGUUAGUUGUGAAAUCCCUCGGCUUAACUGAGGAACUGCAACUAAAACUACUUCCCUUGAGUACUGGAGAGGAAGGUGGAAUUCCUAGUGUAGCGGUGAAAUGCGUAGAUAUUAGGAAGAACACCGAUGGCGAAGGCGACUUUCUGGACAGUAACUGACGUUGAGGCACGAAAGUGUGGGGAGCAAACAGGAUUAGAUACCCGUGUAGUC